rnacentral:rRNA from 1 species
UACGAAGGGGGGCUAGCGUUGCUCGGAAUCACUGGGCGUAAAGGGCGCGUAGGCGGCCAUUCAAGUCGGGGGUGAAAGCCUGUGGCUCAACCACAGAAUUGCCUUCGAUACUGUUUUGGCUUGAGUUUUGGUAGAGGUUGGUGGAACUGCGAGUGUAGAGGUGAAAUUCGUAGAUAUUCGCAAGAACACCAGUGGCGAAGGCGGCCAACUGGACCAACACUGACGCUGAGGCGCGAAAGCGUGGGGAGCAAACAGG